rnacentral:rRNA from 1 species
UACGGAAGGGGCAAGCGUUGUUCGGAAUCAUUGGGCGUAAAGGGCGCGUAGGUGGUUCUGUAUGUCUACCGUGAAAGCGUACGGCUCAACCGUAUUUUGUCGGUAGAAACUGCAGGACUUGAGGCUGGGAGGGCUGGUGGAAUUCCCUGUGUAGCGGUGAAAUGCGUAGAGAUGGGGGAGAACACUCGUGGCGAAGGCGGCCAGCUAGACCAGUUCUGACACUGAGGCGCGACAGCGUGGGGAGCAAACAGG